rnacentral:rRNA from 1 species
GAUGAACGCUGGCGGCGUGCCUAAUACAUGCAAGUCGAGCGAACAGACGAGGAGCUUGCUCCUCUGACGUUAGCGGCGGACGGGUGAGUAACACGUGGAUAACCUACCUAUAAGACUGGGAUAACUUCGGGAAACCGGAGCUAAUACCGGAUAACAUGUUGAACCGCAUGGUUCAACAGUGGAAGACGGUCUUGCUGUCACUUAUAGAUGGAUCCGCGCCGCAUUAGCUAGUUGGUAAGGUAACGGCUUACCAAGGCAACGAUGCGUAGCCGACCUGAGAGGGUGAUCGGCCACACUGGAACUGAGACACGGUCCAGACUCCUACGGGAGGCAGCAGUAGGGAAUCUUCCGCAAAGGGCGAAAGCCUGACGGAGCAACGCCGCGUGAGUGAAGAAGGUCUUCGGAUCGUAAAACUCUGUUAUUAGGGAAGAACAAAUGUGUAAGUAACUAUGCACGUCUUGACGGUACCUAAUCAGAAAGCCACGGCUAACUACGUG